AUUGUCCACAUCAUUUUUUCCACCAUUAACAACUUUUCCAAAUGCCGUAUGUGGAAGCUGAUGGAGCGUCACAUCCAUAUAGAAAAACUGUGCAAAAGAGCAUGACAGUGCAUUAAGAAACCCUUGCGUAUAUAUCAUCCUGCUUAGUUCAUACUUAUUCCAAAUUUAGUUUUACAAUUUAAACUGGAAUCUGCCUUGCCCGUGUUUAAAAAAAUGUACUUAUCUAUAAAAAAAAAUUCUAGGACAUAGUACUAUUUUUUACCACUGAACUACCCAAAUAGUGGUCUUUUAGGCUUGUAGAUAGAAGAUAUACUUCCAAUGAUGUUUAAUAUAUAGUAAAGAAAUAAGGAUUACGUACACUUGGUUAUGCACAGCCAACAGGGAGAUAACAUAUAUAUCAUGCAUGUCGCUGCAACAAUUAGAAAUCUAACUGCCGUCAACACAUCUAAAGAAGCCCACUUGAACACAAAAGUCUGUUCAAAUACCUACAUAAUAGAUAAAUGCAUCUAUAUGAAAGAUUGUAAGGUACGGUCAUGACAAUAGUUGGCAACAGGACAUGCGUAGAUUAAAAUCAAAACUCUCUUCUUUUAGGGCGGCCUAUUGUUCUGCAAUUAGCAAACCACAAGAAGACAAUCAAUUGCCACCUAAUGCUAGAGAACUGUACUGGACCAGGGAUGUGUCAGAUGAACAAACCUUAGCUCCCAAGAUUUGAAAUUGCCUGGCUCUUCCCCUGCAGCCCCUCUCCGUUCAUCAAGAGGCCUGUUGAAUUAGGACUCUGCUCUUACUGAAAUCCAGUGAAAAAACAAAAGGUAUCAAAUAAUAUAGGUCUCUGCUCUUACUGAAAUCCAGUGAAAAAACAAAAGGUAUCAAAUAAUAUACUUGGUGAGAUUGUAUUCAGGAUGCAGAAGCUACAUGAUAUGACCAGCUAGCAAAUUUAAUUUACAGUAAGCAAAGAACCGUUGAUUGAUUGAAACAAAUUUCAAACUUUAAUAACAAUCCGACAUUAAAGUAUUCCUUAUUUCUUUACUCAAAUCUUAAUGUGUUGGAUCAUCAAAAUCACAUAUUGGUGAGACACCAUCAAAUCAUCAGAGGAAUCAGGAAUGCAGAUCACAGAGGACAGGAGAUGAGAGGUGAUAUUACCUUACUGCUUGGGGAAGCCAUGGACAGAGGAGAGGAGGAGCAGUAACAGCAAGCUU
rnacentral:lncRNA from 1 species